AUUGAACGCUGGCGGCAUGCCUUACACAUGCAAGUCGAACGGCAGCACGGGAGCAAUCCUGGUGGCGAGUGGCGAACGGGUGAGUAAUACAUCGGAACGUGCCCAAUCGUGGGGGAUAACGCAGCGAAAGCUGUGCUAAUACCGCAUACGAUCUACGGAUGAAAGCAGGGGAUCGCAAGACCUUGCGCGAAUGGAGCGGCCGAUGGCAGAUUAGGUAGUUGGUGAGGUAAAGGCUCACCAAGCCGUCGAUCUGUAGCUGGUCUGAGAGGACGACCAGCCACACUGGGACUGAGACACGGCCCAGACUCCUACGGGAGGCAGCAGUGGGGAAUUUUGGACAAUGGGAGAAAGCCUGAUCCAGCCAUGCCGCGUGCAGGAUGAAGGCCUUCGGGUUGUAAACUGCUUUUGUACGGAACGAAACGGCCUUUUCUAAUAAAGAGGGCUAAUGACGGUACCGUAAGAAUAAGCACCGGCUAACUACGUGCCAGCAGCCGCGGUAAUACGUAGGGUGCAAGCGUUAAUCGGAAUUACUGGGCGUAAAGCGUGCGCAGGCGGUUAUGUAAGACAGUUGUGAAAUCCCCGGGCUCAACCUGGGAACUGCAUCUGUGACUGCAUAGCUAGAGUACGGUAGAGGGGGAUGGAAUUCCGCGUGUAGCAGUGAAAUGCGUAGAUAUGCGGAGGAACACCGAUGGCGAAGGCAAUCCCCUGGACCUGUACUGACGCUCAUGCACGAAAGCGUGGGGAGCAAACAGG
rnacentral:rRNA from 1 species